GCAGUCGAGCGCGAAUAGGGAAACCUUAGUAGAGCGGCGCACGGGUGCGUAACACGUGGAUAAUCUGCCUGGAUGCCUGGGAUAACCAGUCGAAAGAUUGGCUAAUACCGGAUAAGCCCACGGUUUCUUCGGAGACUGAGGGAAAAGGUGGCCUCUGUAUACAAGCUAUCACAACCAGAUGAGUCCGCGGCCCAUCAGCUAGUUGGCGGGGUAAUGGCCCACCAAGGCGACGACGGGUAGCUGGUCUGAGAGGACGAUCAGCCACACUGGAACUGAGACACGGUCCAGACUCCUACGGGAGGCAGCAGUGGGGAAUUUUGCGCAAUGGGCGAAAGCCUGACGCAGCAACGCCGCGUGUGUGAUGAAGGUCUUCGGAUUGUAAAGCACUUUCGACCGGGACGAAAACCCGGAGCCUAACACGCUCCGGCUUGACGGUACCGGGAGAAGAAGCACCGGCUAACUCUGUGCCAGCAGCCGCGGUAAUACAGAGGGUGCAAGCGUUGUUCGGAAUUAUUGGGCGUAAAGCGCGUGUAGGCGGCGUGACAAGUCGGGUGUGAAAGCCCUCAGCUCAACUGAGGAAGUGCGCCCGAAACUGUCGUG
rnacentral:rRNA from 1 species